rnacentral:rRNA from 1 species
AUUGAACGCUGGCGGCAUGCUUUACACAUGCAAGUCGAACGGUAACAGGCCGCAAGGUGCUGACGAGUGGCGAACGGGUGAGUAAUGCAUCGGAACGUGCCCAGUCGUGGGGGAUAACGCAGCGAAAGCUGCGCUAAUACCGCAUACGAUCUAUGGAUGAAAGCGGGGGACCGUAAGGCCUCGCGCGAUUGGAGCGGCCGAUGUCAGAUUAGGUAGUUGGUGGGGUAAAGGCUCACCAAGCCAACGAUCUGUAGCUGGUCUGAGAGGACGACCAGCCACACUGGGACUGAGACACGGCCCAGACUCCUACGGGAGGCAGCAGUGGGGAAUUUUGGACAAUGGGCGCAAGCCUGAUCCAGCAAUGCCGCGUGCAGGAAGAAGGCCUUCGGGUUGUAAACUGCUUUUGUACGGAACGAAACGGCUCUCACUAAUACUGGGGGCUAAUGACGGUACCGUAAGAAUAAGCACCGGCUAACUACGUGCCAGCCGCCGCCGUAACAC